rnacentral:piRNA from 1 species
GACGUCCCUGGUGGUCUAGUGGUUAGGAUU